UACGUAGGGCGCAAGCGUUGUCCGGAAUUAUUGGGCGUAAAGAGCUCGUAGGUGGCGUGUCGCGUCUGCCGUGAAAGCCCAUGGCUUAACUGUGGGUCUGCGGUGGAUGCGGGCAGGCUGGAGGCUGGUAGGGGCAAGCGGAAUUCCUGGUGUAGCGGUGAAAUGCGCAGAUAUCAGGAGGAACACCGGUGGCGAAGGCGGCUUGCUGGGCCAGUUCUGACGCUGAGGAGCGAAAGCGUGGGGAGCGAACAGG
rnacentral:rRNA from 1 species